rnacentral:rRNA from 1 species
UACCAGCACCCCGAGUGGUCGGGACGUUUAUUGGGCCUAAAGCAUCCGUAGCCGGUUCUACAAGUCUUCCGUUAAAUCCAACUGCUUAACAGAUGGGCUGCGGAGGAUACUAUAAGACUAGGAGGCAGGAGAGGCAAGCGGUACUCAGUGGGUAGGGGUAAAAUCCGUUGAUCCAUUGAAGACCACCAGUGGCGAAGGCGACUUACUGGACGACUGUUGACACUGAGGUGCGAAAGCGUGGGGAGCAAACAGG